UACGUAGGGGGCGAGCGUUGUCCGGAUUUAUUGGGCGUAAAGAGCGUGUAGGCGGCCAGGUAGGUCUGCUGUGAAAACUCGAGGCUCAACCUCGAGACGUCGGCGGAAACCAUCUGGCUAGAGUCCGGAAGAGGAGAGUGGAAUUCCCGGUGUAGUGGUGAAAUGCGUAGAUAUCGGGAGGAACACCAGUGGCGAAGGCGGCUCACUGGACCGGAACUGACGCUGAGGCGCGAAAGCGUGGGGAGCAAACAGG
rnacentral:rRNA from 1 species